UUAAGGUAUGGUGAUGCAUACCUGUAAUCCCAGUAGCUCUGGAUGCUGAGGCAGGAGGAUUGCAAGUUCAAAGUCAGCCUCAGCAAUUUAGUGAUACCCUGUCUCAA
rnacentral:sRNA from 1 species